ensembl:lncRNA
CCAAGGAUGGGGGCGGGCCUAGCCCUGCGGUCGCGGAGAGGCUGGGGAAGUGGAGCUGAGUUGGCUAAAGGGACCAGCGAGGAGAUGAAGAAACUGCUUAGAGAAACUAAGUUUACACACCUUGAGAAUAACCAGGAUUUGAAUUUAGAAUCAUCGUUCUUCAGUCACCAUGCUGUGGGCUGCAGUCACCAUCUGCAGUGAUUUUGGAGCCAAGAAAAUAAAGUGUGCCACUGUUUCCACUGUUUUUUAGUCUAUUUGCCGUGAAGUGAUGGGACCGGAUGCCAUGAUCUUCGUUUUCUGAAUGUUGAGCUUUAAGCCAACGUUUUCACUCUUCUCUUUCACUUUCAUCAAGAAGCUCUUUAGUUCUUCACUUUCUGCCAUAAGGGUGGUGUCAUCUGCCUAUCUGAGGUUAUUGAUAUUUCUCCUGGCAAUCUUGAUUCCAGCUUGUGCUUCUUCAGCCCAACAUUUCUCAUGAUGUACUCUGCAUAGAAGUUAAAUAAGCAGGGUGACAAUAUACAGCCUUGAUGUACCCCUUUCCCUAUUUGGAACCAGUCUGUUUUUCCACGUCCAGUUCUAACUGUUGCUUCCUAACCUGCAAACAGAUUUCUCAAUCUGCAUGUCAGGUGGUCUGAUAUUCCCAUCUCUUUCAGAAUUUUCCACAGUUUAUUGUGAUCCACACGGUCAAAGCUUUUGGCAUAGUCAAUAAAGCAGAAAUAGAC